CCUACGGGUGGCAGCAGUGAGGAAUAUUGGUCAAUGGGCGCGAGCCUGAACCAGCCAAGUAGCGUGAAGGAUGACUGCCCUACGGGUUGUAAACUUCUUUUAUAAAGGAAUAAAGUGAGGCACGUGUGCCUUUUUGUAUGUACUUUAUGAAUAAGGAUCGGCCAACUCCGUUCCAGCAGCCGCGGUAAUACGGAGGAUCCGAGCGUUUUUCGGAUUUAUUGGGGUUAAAGGGAGCGUAGAUGGGUUGUUAAGUCAGUUGUGAAAGUGUGCGGCUCAACCGUAAAAUUGCAAUUGAUACUGGGAGUCUUGAGUACAGUUGAGGUAGGCGGAAUGCGUGGUGUAGCGGUGAAAUGCUUAGAUAUCACGAAGAACUCCGAUUGCGAAGGCAGCUUACUAAACUGCCACUGACACUGAUGCUCGAAAGUGUGGGUAUCAAACAGGAUUAGAUACCCGGGUAGUC
rnacentral:rRNA from 1 species